rnacentral:rRNA from 1 species
UACGGAGGGUGCAAGCGUUAUCCGGAAUCACUGGGUUUAAAGGGUGCGUAGGCGGUUUGAUAAGUCAGUUGUGAAAUACCCCGGCUUAACCGGCGGUCGUGCGAUUGAUACUGUUGGACUUGAAUCAGGUUGAGGUAGGCGGAAUGUGGCAUGUAGCGGUGAAAUGCAUAGAUAUGCCAUAGAACACCGAUUGCGAAGGCAGCUUGCUGGACCUAGAUUGACGCUGAGGCACGAAAGCGUGGGGAGCAAACAGGAUUAGAUACCCUUGUAGUCC